GUGACUCGGCACUGAGAGAGCGCCGCGGGGAGAAGACGCCGCGGCCGCCGCCUCCUCAGUCCGGGCCUGGGCCUUCCCGCUCCUCCCGCCGCUUCCUCCCCCGGGACCGCUCCUCCUUCAGGUUUGAAGCCGGCGGCGUCGCGGCCGCCCUGCCCAGGCUCUCCGAGAAUGGUGGGCGUAAAGCCGGUCGGGAGUGACCCAGAUUUCCAGCCGGAGCUGAGCGGCGCGGGCUCCAGACUCGCCGUGGUCAAGUUCACCAUGCGGGGGUGUGGACCGUGUUUAAGGAUUGCCCCAGCAUUCAGUUCUAUGAGUAAUAAGUAUCCACAGGCAGUUUUCUUGGAAGUAGAUGUACAUCAGUGUCAGGGAACAGCUGCCACCAACAAUAUAUCAGCAACACCUACGUUUCUGUUUUUUCGAAACAAAGUGAGAAUUGAUCAAUAUCAAGGAGCUGAUGCUGUGGGACUAGAGGAAAAAAUCAAGCAGCACUUAGAGAACGACCCUGGGAGCAACGAGGAUACUGAUAUUCCGAAAGGCUAUAUGGAUUUAAUGCCUUUCAUUAACAAAGCUGGCUGUGAAUGUCUUAAUGAAAGUGAUGAGCAUGGAUUUGACAACUGUUUACGAAAAGACAUGACCUUCCUGGAAUCUGAUUGUGAUGAACAGCUUCUUAUUACCGUGGCAUUCAAUCAGCCUGUUAAGCUUUAUUCAAUGAAAUUUCAAGGACCAGAUAAUGGUCAGGGUCCUAAAUACGUAAAAAUUUUUAUCAAUCUACCACGAUCUAUGGAUUUUGAAGAGGCAGAAAGAAGUGAGCCAACUCAAGCUCUGGAACUAACAGAGGAUGAUAUUAAAGAAGAUGGUAUUGUCCCUCUUCGUUAUGUUAAGUUUCAGAACGUUAACAGUGUAACUAUAUUUGUUCAGUCCAAUCAAGGUGAAGAAGAAACAACAAGAAUUUCAUAUUUUACUUUUAUUGGGACUCCAGUCCAGGCAACAAAUAUGAAUGACUUCAAACGACGUAGUUAACUUUUGGGAGCUGUAGGAACAGUUUUGUUCUUAGAUCUGUCAUAUGGGAUGUUUCACAUACGCGUAAUGACAGGUCAGAAGAAGCAGAGAUUAAACAUCUACGUUUUUAUGAUACGAAAUGUGCUGCACUGGGAAACUCUUUUUUAAUCCAACUCAAAUGAACUAAAAACGGAAGAUUUUUAAAAAUGAAGUAAUAUAAAGAUUGACCUUAUCUCACUCCACUCCCCUCCUUGCUUCUCUGCUCAUCUAGCACCUGUCUGCUCUCACCCUUCUCACGUUCUCGCCAUUGCUGGGGCAAGAUUUCUACAGCUUCUGUCAUCUGGAUCAACCCCCUUGUUACCUAGAUUGCCUCAACCAUCUCUGUCUUCAAGUCUCAUUCUAGUCAAUGUUUCUCAGUUGGCCUUUUAUUUCUUUUCAGUUUUUGUUCUGAUCUUGCGACUAGGUGCUUUAGUUUCAUUACCAUACCAGGUUGUUCGCCUAACUUUUUGUUUUUUACUUUCUCCUGUCUCAUUUAAUUUUGUACUACAUUUUGAGAAAUAAUAUUGCAGUGGAACUUAACAUCGUCAUAAAUAUUUUCAGAUUUAAAUAGUUGGAUAAUGUUUUAAUCUGAUCUAAAGUUUAUAUUUUUUAGAAACAAUAGAAUCAUUUUGGAAAUCAAAUAUGAGCAGUUUCACUAAGUUCUUUUAUAUUGGAGCUAGUGUAAUAUACUGAUUAGGCUGAAAUUGAGAGAUAUGGGUUUUCUCAUUGGAACUGUAGCCCUAGAGUCUUUUUGCUGAUUAAUUAUGGGCCUGUCCUCUGCUUUGCCAACGCAAGUGAGUUUGAAGCCAGUUGAAAGACUUACGGACUAAAAGUUAGGCUAAGUUAAAAUAUUAACAUAGACAAUCAAUGGACUCUUUAUUGAAUAAAUAUUUUUGAUACUUAAUUUUGAUGUACCAAAACUUUUGUUUGUCGGAGGUAUAAUAUUAAGACUUAAAAGUGAAUAAAAGAGCUUUACUGUUGGGGUGAGAAACUCCUUAUUGGAA